rnacentral:sRNA from 1 species
CUUGGUCAUUUAGAGGAAGUAAAAGUCGUAACAAGGUUUCCGUAGGUGAACCUGCGGAAGGAUCAUUAUCGUGUUCCUGCCCUCUGGGUAGAAACCCCACCCUAUGUUUAACCCUAUCACUGUUUCCCUGGCGGGCCGCCUCAGGGCGCUGGCUCCGGCCGGAUCGCGCUCGUCGGGGACAUCACAAACCCUGUUUGCAAGUCUGUCCGAGUACUAUAUCAAUAGUUAAAACUUUCAACAACGGAUCUCUUGGCUCUGGCAUCGAUGAAGAACGCAGCGAAAUGCGAUAAGUAAUGUGAAUUGCAGAAUUUAGUGAAUCAUCGAAUCUUUGAACGCACAUUGCGCCCCUUGGUAUUCCGAGGGGCAUGCCUGUCCGAGCGUCAUUACAACCCCUCCAGCGUGCUGGGUCUUGGGCCUCGCCUCCGGGCGGGCCUUAAAAUCAGUGGCGGCCCCUAUCAGGCCCUGAGCGUAGUAACUUCUCUCGCUACAGGGCCGCGGUAGGCGCUAGCCAGCAACCCCCCCUUCUUUCUAAUGGUUGACCUCGGAUCAGGUAGGGAUACCCGCUGAACUUAAGCAUAUCAAUAAGCGGAGGAAAAGAAACCAACAGGGAUUACCUCAGUAACGGCGAGUGAAGCGGUAACAGCUCAAAUUUGAAAUCUGGCCUUCCGGUCCGAGUUGUAAUUUGUAGAAGAUGCUUUGGGUGUGGCUCCGGUCUAAGUUCCUUGGAACAGGUCGUCAUAGAGGGUGAGAAUCCCGUAUGCGACUGGCUGCCUUCGCCCGUGUAAAGCUCUUUCGACGAGUCGAGUUGUUUGGGAAU